AUGCUCGGGCUCUCUGUCCGCCCCCGACGCUACUCUCUGUGGCCGGCUGCGUGCUCUCCAGCCGGCGAGGAUGCAACCCCGUCCCCAUCUCCCUCACUUACUUCAGCCUGCGCACCACUGAGCCCACUCCACACCGCCGCAGCUAGGCUCGAGCUCUCUCUCCGCUGCGCUCGCUCAGCCUCCACCUGCAGAGGCUCUCACCGCCGCCACGGGCUCGAGCAGCCUCCGUCGUGA
rnacentral:rRNA from 1 species